UGUCUAAGUACAAACUUUUACACGGUGAAACCGCGAAUGGCUCAUUAAAUCAGUUAUGGUUUAUUAGAUGGUGCUAUCCUACUUGGAUAACUGUGGUAAUUCUAGAGCUAAUACAUGCGACAAAGCUCCGACCCUCGUUGGAAAGAGCGCUUUUAUUAGAUCAAGACCAACCGGUAUCGCCUCUGGUGUGCCGUCGGAUUGAUGACUCUGGAUAACCUUUGCCGAUCGUAUGGCCCCGAGCCGACGACGAAUCUUUCAAAUGUCUGCCCUAUCAACUUUCGUUGGUAGGUGAUUUGCCUACCAAGGUGUUUACGGGUAACGGGGGAUCAGGGUUCGAUCCCGGAGAGGGAGCAUGAGAAACGGCUACCACAUCCAAGGAAGGCAGCAGGCGCGCAAAUUACCCACUCUUAGCACGAGGAGGUAGUGACGAAAAAUAACAAUACGGGACUCUUUCGAGGCCCCGUAAUUGGAAUGAGUACACUCUAAACCCGUUAACGAGGAUCUAUUGGAGGGCAAGUCUGGUGCCAGCAGCCGCGGUAAUUCCAGCUCCAAUAGCGUAUAUUAAAGCUGUUGCAGUUAAAAAGCUCGUAGUCGGAUGUCGGGCGGCGGCCAAUGGUUCGGUUCCGUGCCGAUACUGCUGGUCGCGGCCUCCACGCCGGUCGUCCUUCGGUGCUCUUAACUGAGUGCCUUAGGUAGCCGGAGCGUUUACUUUGAAAAAAUUAGAGUGUUCAAGGCAGGCCUCGAGCCUGAAUGAUGGUGCAUGGAAUAAUGGAAUAGGACCUCGGUUCUAUUUUGUUGGUCUUCGGAACUGGAGGUAAUGAUUAAUAGGGACGGACGGGGGCAUUCGUAUUGCGGCGUUAGAGGUGAAAUUCUUGGAUCGUCGCAAGACGGACUACAGCGAAAGCAUUUGCCAAGAAUGUUUUCAUUGAUCAAGAGCGAAAGUCAGAGGAUCGAAGACGAUCAGAUACCGUCCUAGUUCUGACCAUAAACGAUGCCAACUAGCGAUCCGGCUCCGUUGCUUUAUAAGACUGGCCGGGCAGCUCCCGGGAAACCAAAGUCUAUGGGUUCCGGGGGAAGUAUGGUUGCAAAGCUGAAACUUAAAGGAAUUGACGGAAGGGCACCACCAGGAGUGGAGCCUGCGGCUUAAUUUGACUCAACACGGGAAAACUCACCCGGCCCGGACACCGUAAGGAUUGACAGAUUGAAAGCUCUUUCUUGAUUCGGUGGGUGGUGGUGCAUGGCCGUUCUUAGUUGGUGGAGCGAUUUGUCUGGUUAAUUCCGAUAACGAACGAGACUCUAGCCGGCUAACUAGUCCG
rnacentral:rRNA from 1 species